rnacentral:tRNA from 1 species
GUUUUAGUGGUGUAUAAUAACACACUAUAUUUUCACUAUAGAGCUGGGACAUUUAUCCUCUAAAAUU